rnacentral:rRNA from 1 species
AGAAUCAACGCUGGCGGCGUGCCUAACACAUGCAAGUCGCACGAGAAAGGGGAGCAAUCCCUGAGUACAGUGGCGCACGGGUGAGUAACACGUGAAUAAUCUACCUCCGAGUGGGGAAUAACUGAGAGAAAUCUUAGCUAAUACCGCAUAAUACCCACGGGUCAAAGCAGUAAUGCGCUUGGAGAGGAGUUCGCGGCAGAUUAGUUAGUUGGCGGGGUAAUGGCCCACCAAGACGAUGAUCUGUA